rnacentral:sRNA from 1 species
ACAACAGAUGGCGUGCAGGGCGGUCGGCAUUCCCUCCGGAAAGGAGGUGAUGCCAUGGAAGUAUAUCAAACAUUAACACUGAUGAUAUCCUUCGGAACAUUGGUGGUUUUGAUACUUUCGUUUAAUAAAAAGAAAUGACCGCCCCUUCACAGUGGUUGACGGUCAUUUCCGUUAUCCAUUAACCGACCGCCCUUAAAGCGGCUGUUGUGAGGAAUCAUGUUUGCUGCAUGAUUC